rnacentral:lncRNA from 1 species
UUGAACAAAAACACAUCGCAAGUCUUCCAAAUAUGCAAGUCCACCUGAUCUAGUGUGAUGACUACGGCGGUGGUUGAUUGUUAUGAAUUGUCAUGAAAGCCUGGCUGUGAUUUGUGGUAAACAGAGCAAUUUUCGUUUUUGUUGACAAGGGCAAAAGUGGAAAACCUCAUCUCUCUACCCCUUAGUUGUUAUAUACUUUUCACCCAUUCCCUUACCUUUUAUUCUCGCCAAAAAACUCAACAACUGAAAAAGAGAAGAAGAAACUCAGCCACCCAGACCAGCGGCACCGCCGCCGCGAACCUCCCACUCUCUCUCCUGUGGCGGCAAUACUUCAUCUCUGUGCGCAACUUCUCCCUGUGCCGGACCACGUCUCCGACGACGCAACCCUUUCUCCGGCGAGGUAACCCUAAAACAGUGCCAAUGUAUUCACGUGGUCGCGAUUUUUUGUUCUGUCACUUGUGUGGAACAAUGCUCACGGUUCCCUCAACUGAUUACAAAUGAAGACACUGUAUAUAUAUUAAAGGAAAGGAAAUAAGUUACACAAUUUCUGCUGAGGAUAUCAGAAGAGAACUUGGAAUCGAUCUAAUUGAGGAACAGAAGGUGCAAUUGUCUAAGGUCAACAAGACAUGUGAAAAAUGUGGUCAUGGUGAAGCUGCCUUUUAUACCAGACAGAUGAGAUCGGCGGAUGAAGGGCAGACUACUUUUUACACAUGCACUCGCUGUGGUCAUCAGUUUCAGGAGAAUUAAAUUUGAACCCUCUACGAACAGAUUACUUGGCUGAAAUCUGCUCCAAUUUUCUACCAAACAUUAAUUUGGAGAGUCUGUGCAAUUGGAAGUUUUGAUCCUAUGUAGCUUGUACAAUGCCUGAAAAUUGUAUACUGAAAUCGACAUAGAAAAGUUGUUUUGGUGUUAAAUAUGAAGUAACAUGUGGCUUCUGGCUAUUUGUUGCUAAAUUCACAGAAACCACCUUUUUACUAUUUUUUUCCCUAUCAAAUUUUGAUUUAUUUUCAUGCAUUACUCAGGUAUUGUGGCCUGGUGUUUCCUAGUGUGCUAAUUUAUCUAGAACUGUGUUUGUAGUACUUAGUUCCUUGCCUUUUUGGGCGAAUAGUAC